GAGCUCGUACGGCGACUGGAGCGGCAAAAGCUCAAAUUUGAAAUCCCCCGGGAAUUGUAAUUUGAAGAGAUUUGGGUCCGGCCGGCAGGGGUUAAGUCCACUGGAAAGUGGCGCCACAGAGGGUGACAGCCCCGUGAACCCCUUCAAAGCCCUCAUCCCAGAUCUCCAAGAGUCGAGUUGUUUGGGAAUGCAGCUCUAAGUGGGUGGUAAAUUCCAUCUAAAGCUAAAUACCGGCGAGAGACCGAUAGCGAACAAGUACAGUGAUGGAAAGAUGAAAAGCACUUUGAAAAGAGAGUGAAAAAGUACGUGAAAUUGUUGAAAGGGAAGGGCUUGCAAGCAGACACUUAACUGGGCCAGCAUCGGGGCGGCGGGGAGCAAAACCACCGGGGAAUGUACCUUUCGAGGAUUAUAACCCCGGCCCUUACUCCCAUACCACCCCGAGGCCUGCAAUCUAAGGAUGCUGGCGUAAUGGUUGCAAGUCGCCCGUCUUGAAAAAAAGGAACCAAAA
rnacentral:rRNA from 1 species